CCACUACUAUAUCAUAAUGAAGAAGUUGUAAUAUGUGGUAUUUAAUGCCUAAAUGUGGUUAAAUAUCGGUAUAAUUUCAUUGAGAUCGAAGUCAACAAUCCUUCCAAAUAAACUUGGCAUGACCAAGUAGGAAGUUCUCUAAAAGGAGUUCUAAUGCUAUUGCAAUUUACAAACACAGAUUGAGCAUGCAAUCAAUAUUACCUUUUUACUUGUGCCUUUGUUGUUUUUCAACUUUUUUUUUUUUUUUUGUAGGUGGUGCUGCUAAUACUUUAGUUUGUUAUAGAUGUAAAGACAUAUCAAGUAAGUUGUUGUUUUGCUUUGGUUGUUGAUGAUCCAAAUAAAUUUCUAUUAUACGUUGACUGUUGGGGAUGCAAAGGAAUUCAAGUAGGUUCAUACUGUUUUCAAUGGUUGUUAAGGAUGCAUAGAAAUUCAAGUAUGGUGCUGUUUUUUUGUUUCAGCUAUUGAGUAUGCAAAGAAAUUCAAGAAGUCUGUUGUUGUUUUGCUUUGGUUGUUGAGGAUGCAUAGAAAUUCAAGUAGGUUUAUGUGGAUAACGGAAUGCUCAAGGAAGGUGGAGAAGAACUGAUCAAUCAUGUGGAAGUUUUAGCUUUAACAGAGUUAGAAUUUCAUAAUAUGUGUCCUUUCUUUACUCAAAUUACAUUGUCGUUUGAACAUAGAAAUGAUUGAAUGCUACAAGUAUUUAUCUUGUUUAUGCACUAUAAUGUAUCAAACUUCUCACAUAUUUUAUUUUUUAUUAUUAUUGAAGUUUGAAUGAUAUCAA
rnacentral:lncRNA from 1 species